UACAUGAAGCUGGAAUCGCUAGUAAUCGCGGAUCAGAAUGCCGCGGUGAAUACGUUCCCGGGUCUUGUACACACCGCCCGUCACACCAUGGGAGUCGGAAAUGCCCGAAGCCGGUGACCUAACCUUUCAGGAAGGAGCCGUCGAAGGCAGGUCUGAUAACUGGGGUGAAGUCGUAACAAGGUAGC
rnacentral:rRNA from 1 species